rnacentral:rRNA from 1 species
GGUAUGAUGGUUAUUCUGACGGAGCAUACCGCGUGAGGGAAGACGGCCUAUGGGUUGUAAACCUCUUUUUUCAGGGAGGAAUAAAUGACGUGUACCUGAAGAAUAAGCAUCGGCUAACUCCGUGCCAGCCGCCGCGGUAAGACGGAGGAUGCAAGUGUUAUCCGGAAUCACUGGGCGUAAAGCGUCUGUAGGUGGUUUAAUAAGUCAACUGUUAAAUCUUGAGGCUUAACUUCAAAACCGCAGUCGAAACUAUUAAACUAGAGUAUAGUAGGGGUAAAGGGAAUUUCCAGUGGAGCGGUGAAAUGCGUAAAUAUUGGAAAGAACACCGAUGGCGAAGGCACUUUACUGGGCUAUUACUGACACUCAAAGACGAAAGCUAGGGUAGCAAAUGGGAUUAGAUACCCCCAGUAAUCCA